GGGUAUCAUGUAAUCUUUUGGCCUUCCAUGUGAAGUUACUGACAUAACCAGUUUUUUUCAGGUUCCCUCAGGUACUUUCAAGACCAGCAGAAAGAUAAAAUUACUGACGAUGCAGAGACUGAUGACAGACCUACACACCACAAUAAAGAUGUGGCUGGAGUAGAAGCAAAGGCAUCUGGUUGAACAAAGUAUUUAAGGGAAGUUUGCAGUUAAAGCCUUGUGUGCAAUGAAGGCUCAGGUAAAUAAAAGGACAAGUCCUGGGAAAGGUGGCAGAGUUCAGGAUGAAUGGCAGAAAGGAGAGAAGGUAUUUGUCUUUAGAGAAAUGUUUAGGAAAGGGAGCUGGAAAAAGGGAAGUCAAUGCUACUAUUUAUUUAUUUAAGCUAGUCUCUAUAUAGAUAUGUGAUAGACUCUCCAAAAAAAAUCUAAUCUCAGUGCAGACAGAUAAAAGGUUGGGUUUUUUUCCAUUUCUUUUUUGCUACAUUGUCCAUUUAUUAAUGUAAUUUGUCCACAUUUGUGGGCUGAAAUAGAUCAGAGAGUACUAUUAACAAUGGAACAGAAAACAGAAAGCAGCACUGAAUAUUCCUAGAAAUCUGAAAUGGAAAAUGCCUGUUUAAAGCUAAUUCUUAAGCCUACUGUAAUAUGAUACUGUUUGUUGCUACUAAUCAUCCUGUAAUUUCCCAGCACUGGCUUAAUUUGCAUUUUACUAUUUAAGGCACACCAGUUAAAGAUAAAUAACCUUGCCCUAAAGAUUUCCAUAGCUGAUAAAUCCAGGCCUCAGCUGACCUUCCUCAAAUGCCAGAAUCUGAGCAGGUGCCUGAACAGAAUUUGAAUUUUAAUUUCUCCAAGAUUUAGCACACGGG
rnacentral:lncRNA from 1 species